rnacentral:rRNA from 1 species
UACGUAGGGUGCGAGCGUUAAUCGGAAUUACUGGGCGUAAAGCGUGCGCAGGCGGUCUGUUAAGACCGAUGUGAAAUCCCCGGGCUUAACUUGGGAAUUGCGCUCGAAACUACGGUGCUGGAGUGUGGCAGAGGAAGGUGGAAUUCCACGUGUAGCGGUGAAAUGCGCAGAUAUCAGGAGGAACACCGGUGGCGAAGGCGGGACUCUGGGCCGAUACUGACGCUGAGGAGCGAAAGCGUGGGGAGCAAACAGG